rnacentral:rRNA from 1 species
GACGAACGCUGGCGGCGUGCUUAACACAUGCAAGUCGAACGGAAAGGCCCAAGCUUGCUUGGGUACUCGAGUGGCGAACGGGUGAGUAACACGUGGGUGAUCUGCCCUGCACUUCGGGAUAAGCCUGGGAAACUGGGUCUAAUACCGGAUAGGACGAUGGUUUGGAUGCCAUUGUGGAAAGUUUUUUCGGUGUGGGAUGAGCUCGCGGCCUAUCAGCUUGUUGGUGGGGUAAUGGCCUACCAAGGCGUCGACGGGUAGCCGGCCUGAGAGGGUGUAGGGCCACAUUGGAACUGAGAUACGGCCCAGACUCCUACGGGAGGCAGCAGUGGGGAAUAUUGCACAAUGGGCGCAAGCCUGAUGCAGCGACGCCGCGUGGGGGAUGACGGCCUUCGGGUUGUAGACUCCUUUCGCUAGGGACGAAGCGUUUUUGUGACGGUACCUGGAGAAGAAGCACCGGCUAACUACGUG